rnacentral:tRNA from 1 species
AGUGUGUUGGCAGAAUAGUGCAAUUGAUUUAGGAUCAAUAUAUGGUAUUAACCACACACUA